rfam:Aedes aegypti strain Liverpool supercont1.63 genomic scaffold, whole genome shotgun sequence.
CAAACGGCCCUUUUCAGGGCCACCGAAUUUUUGAAAUAGAAUUAUU